rfam:Pan troglodytes isolate Yerkes chimp pedigree #C0471 (Clint) chromosome 2B, whole genome shotgun sequence.
AUCACUUCUCAGCCUUUUGGCUAAGAUCAAGUGUAGUAUCUGUUUUUUCAGUUUAAUAUCUGAUAUGUCCUAAAUUAAAAAUAAUAAAAAAUAAAUAAAGGGGAGAUAAGAGAAACCAGAGACUCCAU